CUACCUCUCUCUCUCUCUCUCUCUCUUCCCUAACGCCAAUGUGAACCUCUUGAUUUCUCUCUAACCUCACAUUCCGCAAUGUUGAUUCUACCCUCGCGCUUCCUCACCUUCCACCACCGACCAACCCUCGCAUUCUCACCCUUCCCGCCAUCAUCACCGCCGUCGCCGUCGCCGUCGUCCAUCUUCUACGCGCCGACGAACAAUGUCUCCAGACCUCUACGCGCCGAACAAUGUCUCCAACCGCUCUCCGCCGCGUCAUCCUCCUCCUCCUCCUCGGUCACGGUGGAAAACUCCGAGGAAUACUACUCCGAAUCCGACGGAGCCGCCGCGUCCGCCACCACGCAGUUCGUGAUCCGCGCCCGCAACCGCAUCGGCCUCCUUGGGAUCAUCACGCGCGUGUUCGACGUCCUCGGCCUCCGCGUCGACAGGGCCACCGUGGAAUUCGAAGGCGACUACUUCGUGAAGCGGUUCUUCGUCACCGAUUCCCGAGGCGCGAGGAUCGAGGACCUGGAGAGCCUGGACCGGAUCCAGAAGGCGUUACUGGACGCCAUCGACGACUGCGGCGGGUCCAUCACCGCGGGGCCUACCACCACCACGAGAGGCGUCGUGGUCCGCAGGCCGGGUUUGGGCCUGGGCUCCGGCGAGCGCGGCGCUAAGGCGGAG
rnacentral:lncRNA from 1 species